CCUGUUAUUCGUGACCUUCAGCAAAACAAACGACUCAAAAUUGAACCUCCACAGUUUUAAAUACUUCAAAGAUUACAAAUGUCCAUGAAAUAACAUUUCGUGUUUUUCUGGUUUCUCCCACAAUGCUAUUUUGAUUGAUUAAUAUUCAGAACCUUUUCUGCGGUUCUACGUUCGUGCCUCGCGGGCCCCUACAUUUACAAGAUGGCUACUGUGGCUACCGCUCACGUCGAAGCGCGGCUACGCAUGACUGCAGUGUAAAGCGCGGCUACGGCACCCUCCUGCUCCUGCUUUUUGUGCGUCUGUCAUUGAAAGCGAUGUAUGUCUGCAGUCUCUGUGCCACCAAGACGUCUGUGCCACGUUUCAUGAAGUAUGCCGCACUGCACAAAAACAUGAAUGCAUUCUGCAUGAAGUGCCCAUUGGAACAGCACAGAAAAGUGUUCCGAGAGUUCCUUCUCUGAGCUAGUGGUACGACAUACCGAGGACGAAAAUAGGACUGUAAAGAAAACGAAGAGUCCAAAAGGAUUUAUAUGGUUGUGCGUCAUGGUAGCCCAAAUUACCUGCACUAAGACACAACAUAUUGGAUCACACUAAGUUGGCACUGAUGCUAUAGUGCCCUAAGGUGGUGCUGCAUCUCGAGCUACCAGAAGGCAAGUACAACUGAAGAUAACGUCGCAGACGUGCCGUGCUCCCCUUUCAUCAUUGCAAAAGGACAGAACUUUCUUACUGCCGGGGCAUUUACCAUCUGUAUUGAUACCCAUGGUGUGAUCGAAUCCACCACACGGUGCCAGGCAUUCAAGUUGAUGCUCUUUACACACUUCGCCUUUACUAUUGAAUACCGCAAGGAGGUCAGCCUAACCCUGGUGUUCACCCAAAGGGCAGCCGCAGCAGUCAUCCCUGACAGAGGGAGCAAGGUCGAGAAGUCAAGGAAGCAGCGCCGCCUCACACCACAAAUGACCAACUUAAUCAAAGCUCUGCGAGACUAUGAAUGCUAAGUGUUACAACGAAAAAAUUGCAGUGUCAUUAUGAAUAUACCGUAUUUACUCGUAUCUAAGCCGGUGUUUUUUUUUUUUCGAAAAAAAAAAAAACGAUGUGCGAAAGGGGGGGGGGGUCGGCUUAGAUUCGAGUACAUGCAAUGAUUAAGUUUUUUUUUUUUUCUGGCCUUGUGAAUUUCGAGAGUCGGCUUAUAAUCAGGACCGGCCUAGAUUCGAGUAAAUACGGUAUAUCUGCACAUUUUCCAAACCAGUUUUAAUCUACGGUGACAACAUGUACGCAGUUUUCAUUAUUUUGAAGCUGUUUACAUGCAGCAUUUC